AUGGACUCCCGGUCGAUCAACCUUCGGGGCUUCGCCGGAAGCGCAGGAAAAAAUAUCAUGCAGGGGAUUGGGGGAUUCGUUUUCGGCAACGAGGCGUCCGAGUCCAAGGAAGAUAGCUAUGUCGAGAGAUUCCUCGAUCGCAUAAGCAACGGCACCAUGCCUGAUGAUAGGAGGUCUGCCAUGACUGAGCUACAGUCCCUCGUGGCGGAGAGCCGUUCGGCUCAGAUGUCUUUUGGAGCUAUGGGCUUCCCUGUCCUUCUCAACGUUUUGAAAGAAGACCGUGAGGAUGUUGAGCUCGUCAGAGGUGCCCUAGAAACCCUUGUGAGCGCGCUGACUCCUAUUGAGACGUCACAGGGACUGAAAACUGAGGUCCAACCGGCAUCAAUGAACUCUGAUUUGCUUUCUCGAGAAACAGACAACAUUUCUCUUCUCUUGAGCUUACUGACAGAGGAGGAUUUCUAUGUGCGAUAUUACACAAUCCAGCUUUUAACAGCGUUACUUACAAACUCGUUGAAAAGAUUACAGGAGGCAAUUCUAUUAAUUCCCCGUGGCAUAACAGUUUUAAUGGACAUGCUUAUGGACCGCGAGGUCAUAAGGAAUGAAGCACUAUUACUUCUUACUUAUCUGACCAGGGACGCAGAGGAAAUUCAAAAAAUUGUUGUAUUUGAGGGUGCAUUUGAGAAGUUGUUUAGCAUUAUUGGGGAGGAGGGAUUUUCUGAUGGAGGCGUCGUUGUUCAGGAUUGCCUUGAACUUUUAAAUAAUUUAAUACGGAACAAUGCGUCCAAUCAGAUGCUUUUGAAAGAGACAAUGGGCUUUGACCCAUUGAUAUCAAUACUAAAGAUUAGGAGAGGCAGUGCAUUCAAUUUUACCCAACAAAAGACGGUAAAUCUUCUCGGUGCCUUACAUACUGUCGAACUGCUUUUGAUGGGGGGCCCACCGGGUGAAACAGGUAAAGAUACUAGCAAGAUCACCAAUCAAACUGCACUAGCUCAGAGAAACAUUCUUGACCAUCUUCUAUUAUUGGGCGUUGAGAGUCAGUGGGCCCCUGUAGCUCUUCGCUGUACGGCAUUGCGGUGUAUUGGCAGCUUGGUACUAAGAAAUCCUCAAAAUCUCGAUUCUCUUGCAAGCAAGCAAGUCGGGGAAGAACCUCAUGUUCAGCCUGCACUGAAUGCGAUCUUAGCUAUAAUCCUGCGAACCUCCGUAGCACAGGAAUUUGUUGCUGCUGAUUAUGUCUUCAAGUGUUUCUGCGAGACAAAUCCCAAUGGCCAGGCAUUAUUAGCAUCAACUAUUGCUCCACAUCCAAGCCAAGGAACUGCUACCCAUGGUGCUUCUAGUGACAUGCCAUUUGGAAGUGCACUUCUGCAAGCUCUGGUGUCAAGUGAUGUUAAUGGAGAUAUGGAGGCAUGUUGCAGAGCAUCUAGUGUUCUUACUCACAUAAUCAAGGACAACUUGCAAUGCAAAGAUCGCGUAUUGCAAAUUCAGCUUGAAACACCUACGCCAUCCUUGGGACGCACCGAGCCUCUCUUGCAUCGGAUUGUUACGUGUUUAUCCUUUGCAGCUUUAGCAGAAGGAGAGAAUGACCAAAGCAGUCAAUCAGAAGGAUCAUAUAUUCAGCCUGUUAUUCUCCGGCUACUCAUCACAUGGCUUGCGGACUGUGCAAAUGCUGUAAAUUGCCUUUUGGAAUCAGCGGUACACCUAAACUACAUAAUCGAGCUUGCUGCGAAUAAACGUUUCACCGGUUGCGUCCGUGGAUUAGCUGCUGUUGUUUUAGGUGCUUGUGUCCUCAAUAAUGCAAGCCGUGAGAAGGGCCGAGAUGCCUUUGCUGUUGCAGAUGCUAUAAGCCAAAAGAUUGGCCUUACUACAUACUUUUUGAGGUUCGAUGAGCUGCGGAAAAGCUUUCUUCACCUACCAUCAGGGCAGCAGAACCACAAGCAGCUUUCACGGUCAAGUGCAAACAGUAUGUCUGAUUUCCAAGAGAUUGAAGAGGAGGAAACAAAUAAAGGCGAUCAACAUCCAGUCCUUUCGGAAAUUUUUGAUUCACAAUUCGUUAGUUUACUCAGUAAGCUUGAGACUGAUAUUAGAGAAUGUAUAAUGGAUCUCUUCAGUCGAACAAAGACUGCAACUGCAGUUCUACCUGUUGAGUUGGAGCAGAAGAACGGGGAGGUUGACGGAGAGUAUAUCAAGCGGUUGAAGUCAUUUGUAGAGAGACAGUGCAACGAGAUGCAGGACUUGCUAGGCCGAAAUGCAAUCUUAGCAGAAGAUCUAGUGCGAACUGGUGGUGGCAGCACUUCAGAUUCUUCUGAGAAACCGAGCAGUGGCCGAGAAAGGGUACAAAUUGAAGCCCUCAGACAAGAACUGGAGGGCGCAGCACGGCGAAUAGAGGUGCUCAAAACUGAAAAAGCUCAGAUCGAGGCCGAAGCUAGCAACCAACGAAAUCUUGCAGUAAAACUUGAAUCUGAUCUCAAGAGCUUGGCAGAUGCUUACAACAGUCUUGAGCAGUCCAACUACCGCCUUGAUGCAGAGGUGAAAACCUUGAGGCAGGGAGGCAGUGCUCCCUACCCGGACGUAGAAGCAAUAAAAGCGCAAGCCAAGGAAGAGGCAGAGAAGGAAAGUGAGGUGGAACUGAACGAUCUACUCGUCUGCCUGGGACAGGAGCAAAGUAAGGUUGAGAAGCUGAGUGCACGGCUGGCAGAGCUCGGUGAGGACGUGGACACCCUGCUGCAAGGUAUCGGUGAUGAUGCUGCCUUGCCAGAUGACGACGAUGAUGAUGACGACGAGGAUGACGACGAUGAAAAGUAA
rnacentral:rRNA from 1 species